AUUGAACGCUGGCGGCAGGCCUAACACAUGCAAGUCGAGCGGAUGAGUGGAGCUUGCUCCAUGAUUCAGCGGCGGACGGGUGAGUAAUGCCUAGGAAUCUGCCUGGUAGUGGAGGACAACGGUGCGAAAGGAACGCUAAUACCGCAUACGUCCUACGGGAGAAAGUGGGGGAUCUUCGGACCUCACGCUAUCAGAUGAGCCUAGGUCGGAUUAGCUAGUUGGUGAGGUAAAGGCUCACCAAGGCGACGAUCCGUAACUGGUCUGAGAGGAUGAUCAGUCACACUGGAACUGAGACACGGUCCAGACUCCUACGGGAGGCAGCAGUGGGGAAUAUUGGACAAUGGGCGAAAGCCUGAUCCAGCCAUGCCGCGUGUGUGAAGAAGGUCUUCGGAUUGUAAAGCACUUUAAGUUGGGAGGAAGGGCAGUAAGUUAAUACCUUGCUGUUUUGACGUUACCAACAGAAUAAGCACCGGCUAACUUCGUGCCAGCCGCCGCGGUAACAC
rnacentral:rRNA from 1 species